GAAUCUUGCGCAAUGGGCGAAAGCCUGACGCAGCGACGCCGCGUGAGUGAAGAAGGCCUUCGGGUUGUAAAACUCUGUCCUCAGGGAAGAAGCAAGUGACGGUACCUGAGGAGGAAGCCCCGGCUAACUACGUGCCAGCAGCCGCGGUAAUACGUAGGGGGCGAGCGUUGUCCGGAAUCAUUGGGCGUAAAGGGUGCGUAGGCGGCCUUUUAAGUCAGGUGUGAAAGACCACAGCUUAACUGUGGGGUUGCAUUUGAAACUGGAAGGCUUGAGUAUCGGAGAGGGUAGUGGAAUUCCCAGUGUAGCGGUGAAAUGCGUAGAUAUUGGGAGGAACACCAGUGGCGAAGGCGACUACCUGGACGAAAACUGACGCUGAUGCACGAAAGCUAGGGGAGCAAAC
rnacentral:rRNA from 1 species